UCGGGAAUAGCCAGCAUUUGGUAAAAGGGGGCAAUGUGAAUGCUUAUUCUUAACUUUGAGUUUUGUGUUUCCUCUUAUAGGCACACAUUGAAGUGCAUCCAUACAUUUAGGGAAUAUUUAUUAAGCAUCUUCAGGAUGCCUGACACUGCACUAAUUCCUAAAGUGACAAGGAAAAGUGAUAGGGGAAAAGGUCCUCAAGAUGAGUGUGCACAGAGACACUUGCGCGUGAAGGAGAUUUAAGUGGAAGAGUCGGUGCACAGAGACAGUCCCACCCUCUUGGCGUUGGAAGCCUGGGUCCAGUGGCACGAAAAGUCGUUACACCUGGAGACUUCCUCAGCUGCAUUGGAUGGCCAUGUUGUCUUUUGUGCUCCAACACGCCCUGAUCACUCCACAGUGCUUUGCUGCGUCGCCCUCUCAGCCGUUGAACCUUCUUGUUGGUUUCUUCCACCUGUUCGGCCGAAGCAGUCUUCACAUGCUGGGUGGAUUAAAGAAGAAAUCAAAGAAACCAUCAUCAAUUUUUCCAAGGAGAAUGACAAUGAGGAGACAGCAUAUCAAAAUUUAUGUUAUACAGAUAAAAUAGUACUCAGGGGAAAGCAUAUGCCUCUGAGAGCUUAUAUCAAUAAAAAAGAGAAAAAGCAAAUCA
rnacentral:lncRNA from 1 species